CGGACGGGUGAGUAAUGUCUGGGAAACUGCCUGAUGGAGGGGGAUAACUACUGGAAACGAUAGCUAAUACCGCAUAACGUCGCAAGACCAAAGAGGGGGACCUUAGGGCCUCUUGCCAUCGGAUGUGCCCAGAUGGGAUUAGCUUGUUGGUGGGGUAACGGCUCACCAAGGCGACGAUCCCUAGCUGGUCUGAGAGGAUGACCAGCCACACUGGAACUGAGACACGGUCCAG
rnacentral:rRNA from 1 species